GGCAGUGUGAGUUUCACACCUAGAUACCCAAUUAGCAAUUAAGCUUGCCUUUGAGUGUAGGCCUCCAAUGCGCUGUGUGAUCCUGGCCUGAUUUGCAUGCCGCUUGUGCACGCGCUGAUAAGCGCAGGCAGCAGCCAUACAUAGUUUUAAAAUUCAACUCCAGAAUCCCUCGCAGAAGGCAAAGGGGCCUGCGGGGCGAAAGAGAGAGAAAUCACAUGGCUGCUCUUCAAAAGGGGACCUGUGUAAGGCAGCCGGCAAAGUGCGUGGGAUCACACUCAGAAUGCAGCAUCAGACAGAGAGAGAGAGAGAGUGUCGCAUGCCUUCCUGUUCCUGUACCACCCUCCAACCCCAGAGCCGCAGACUCAAGGCAGUUUCCAGAAUCAAACAAUUUCACGCAGCUACUGGAGGAGGAAAUGAACUGAGCCCAGAGCAAUAAUAAAAUUAUACAAAUGUUA